CAGUAGUCAUAUGCUUGUCUCAAAGAUUAAGCCAUGCAUGUCUGAGUACAGACCGAUCUAAGGUGAAACCGCGAAUGGCUCAUUAAAUCAGUCAUAAUUCCUUGGAUAGUGAAAAACUUUCCUCGGAUAACUGUGGAAAAUCCAGAGCUAAUACGUGCAACUGAGCUCCGACCUCGGCCGACACCUUGGGAAGAGCGCAUUUAUUAGAUUCAAAACUGACCGGUAUACUCCUUCGGGAUGUGCCGUUGUCUAAAGUUUGAUGACUCCGGAUAACUUAGCCGAGCGCUACGGUCUUAGUACCGGCGCUGUAUCUUUCAAGUGUCUGCCUUAUCAGCUUUCGAUUGUAGGUUAAACGCCUACAAUGGCUGUAACGGGUAACGGGGAAUCAGGGUUCGAUUCCGGAGAGGGAGCCUGAGAAACGGCUACCACAUCUAAGGAAGGCAGCAGGCACGUAAAUUACCCAAUCCCAGCAAGGGGAGGUAGUGACGAAAAAUAACGAUGCGAGACUCUUCCGAGGCCUCGCAAUCGGAAUGAGUCCAUUUUAAAUCCUUGGACGAGGAUCCAUUGGAGGGCAAGUCUGGUGCCAGCAGCCGCGGUAAUUCCAGCUCCAAUAGCGUAUACUAAAGUUGCUGCGGUUAAAAGCUCGUAGUUGAAUCUCCAUGAUCCAUUUCGCGGGCGAGUCGCUCGUUGCGCUUGUGGCGUCGUUUAGCCCCUCGACGUAGAGACUCGGUAAGUGUUUCUGUGUGUCGUAUAGGUUUCGGCCGUGCGUAUCCAGGGAUUGCCCCGAUCUUUUGUCUUGCGGUGCGGCGAACCUAUAGUCUUCGAGUAUAGCUCGUCCGUGUUUGGUACAAUUAAAAUUUUGUUGGCUCGCUCGGAGUGCUCUUUACCGAGUGUUCCAGGGUGGCCGACACGUUCACUUUGAAAAAAUUAGAGUGCUUAAAGCAUGGCGCAUAACUGGCCUGAAUGUCUGUGCAUGGAAUGAAGUAACAGGACCUCGAUUCUGUUCUUUUUGUCGGUUUUAAUGAACCGAGGUAAUGAUUAAAAGGGACAGACGGUGGCAUUAGUAUUGCGACGCUAGAGGUGAAAUUCUUGGACCGUCGCAAGACUAACUACUGCGAAAGCAUUUGCCAAGAAUGUUUUCAUUAAUCAAGAACGAAAGUUAGAGGAUCGAAGGCGAUCAGAUACCGCCCUAGUUCUAACCCUAAACUAUGCUAACUAGCGAUCCGCCGGAGUCAUUCCCACGACCCGGCGGGAAGCCCCAGGGAAACCAAAGUCUUUGAGUUCCGGGGGAAGUAUGGUUGCAAAGCUGAAACUUAAAGGAAUUGACGGAAGGGCACCACCAGGAGUGGAGCCUGCGGCUUAAUUUGACUCAACACGGGAAACCUCACCAGGCCCGGACAUUAUAAGGAUUGACAGAUUGAGAGCUCUUUCUCGAAUUAAUGGGUGGUGGUGCAUGGCCGUUCUUAGUUGGUGGAGUGAUCUGUCUGGUUGAUUCCGAUAACGAACGAGACUCUACCCUACUAACUAGUCGGCGGAUCGUAACCCUGAGAUGGUAGUUAGUGAGGUUGAGUUUGCUUCAUUUCCGAGUCGCGCCGAGAGGGGCGCGUGCGGGCAUUCCAUUUCGGUGGUGGUGUUCGACGCGUUCACUUUCGUCUCCGCGACGCUAGGUUAUGGGGAGGCUUUUCUGUCGCUGCUACUGCUGGGGGCGUCCGUCGCAAUGUAUCUUCUUAGAGGGAUCAGCGGCGUCUAGUCGCACGAGAAAGAGCAAUAACAGGUCUGUGAUGCCCUUAGAUGUUCUGGGCCGCACGCGCGCUACAAUGUAGGGCUCAGCGUGCUUUCCCCCUCCGAAAGGAGCGGGUAACCCCAUGAAACCCCCACACGAUUGGGAUUGGGGAUUGCAAAUAUUUCCCAUAAACGAGGAAUUCCCAGUAAGCGCGAAUCAUCAAUUCGUGUUGAUUACGUCCCUGCCCUUUGUACACACCGCCCGUCGCUACUACCGAUUGAAUGAUUCAGUGAGGGCAUCGGACUGGCGCCUUCGGUUUAGUAAAAUAGACCUUAGGUCGACGGAAAGAUGUCCGA
rnacentral:rRNA from 1 species